UGCAGUCGAGCGAAGAACAGAUAAAGCUUGCUUUAUUUGUUACUGAGCGGCGAACGGGUGAGUAAUACUUGGAUAAUCUGCCUCUAGGACCGGGAUAACCUCAGGAAACUGAGACUAAUACCGGAUGUGACCACGGACACUAAGGUGUCAGUGGUAAAAUGUUUUUUCGCCUAGAGAUGAGUCCAAGGCGCAUCAGGUUGUUGGUAAGGUAAAGGCUUACCAAGCCUAUGACGCGUAGCAGGUCUUAGCGGAUGAUCGGCCACAUGGGGACUGAGAUACGGCCCUGACUCCUACGGGAGGCAGCAGUGAGGAAUAUUGGGCAAUGGACGAAAGUCUGACCCAGCGAUGUCGCGUGAAGGAUGAAGGCCUUCGGGUUGUAAACUUCUGUCAGCAGGGAAGAUAAUGACGGUACCUGCAGAGGAAGCCCCGGCUAACUCCGUGCCAGCAGCCGCGGUAAUACGGAGGGUGCGAGCGUUAAUCGGAAUUACUGGGCGUAAAGCGCACGCAGGCGGUUUGUUAAGCUAGAUGUGAAAGCCCCGGGCUCAACCUGGGAUGGUCAUUUA
rnacentral:rRNA from 1 species